ensembl:lncRNA
UUGGGAAUGCAUGUAAGAAUUAAAGAUUUUAAAAUUUAAAAAAUAAAAAACAAAAAAAAAAAAAAAAAAAAGAAAUCUAUGAGGCAACAUAAACACUGGCAAAAACUGUGGUGAUAUUAGAGGCAUUGCUAGCUAUGAUAAUGACGCUGUGGUUAAGCUUUCUAAGGAAGUCUUUAUCUUUUAGAGAUACUAAAAUAUCAAUAGGUGAAGUUACAUGGUAUCUAGAAUUUUUAUCUUAACGUAGUGGAGGGAGUGGCGUACAGAUGAUGUAAGUGGUCCCUCAAUGGAAGCUUGAUCGGUGUGGAAGCUGUAUAACAGGAAGAUGGAGGUCCCUUCAGAGAAGGCAAUGGCACCCCACUCCAGUACUCUGGCCUGGGAAAUCCCAUGGAUGGAGGAGCCUGGUGGGCUACAGUCUAUGGGGUCGCUGAGGGUCGGACAUGAAUGAGCGACUUCACUUUCACUUUUCACUUUCAUGCAUUGGAGAAGGAAAUGGCAACCCACUCCAGUGUUCUUGCCUGGAGAAUCCCAGGAAGGGGGGAGCCUCGUGGGCUGCCGUCGCACAGAGUUGGACACGACGGAAGCAACUUAGCAGCAGCAGCAGCAGCAGGAGGUCCCUUAUUCUCUUUUCUCUACCUAAUAUUUGCUUGACAUUAUCCAUAGUAAAGAAAAGUGUCAUAAAAACCACUUAAUCAAUCGGUUUUACAUGUAUGCCUUUCUUUCUUAGGGAGCUCCAUUAUAAGUGAACACUGACAUUUAUAAAUGAAAAGCCAUCCAUUCUAAAAUUAUUAUUAAAGAGUUUGAAGUAGAAGAUAGGGUCAGGCUUUUUACAAAAUUCACAGUUAAGCCCAAGUUACCAGCUUCCUUCAAGAGGACUGAGAUCAGUUGUAUUUGUGAUAUUCACAUGUCAAACUAACAGGCUAGGACGGAGACCCUACUUGCCUCAAUAUCUGUAUUGCUUUCUCCGUCAGCGAUAAAAUGUCCAACUUUUAGUUGGCACAUGGCCAUCCAGGCAAAAGAGCAUUAUCCUAGCCUCCUUUACACCUGAGGAUAGUUGUGUGACUACGUUCUGACCAAAGGUUUUUAAAGGGAAGUGGUAUACAUGACUUCCCGGAAGUAUCUUUAAAGAAGUAUGUCUCCUUUUCUGAUCUCCCCUCCAUUUCCGGCUUGUUGGAACGUGUUCUGAUGGCUGGAGCCUGAGCAGCCACGUUGGAUCUCGAGUCAGAAGCUACAGGAAAGAACGGUGGAAGAAUAAGGUGUGGGGAUGAAAUAAGACCAAAAUAAAUUUAGGGAGAGAAAGAGGAAGCUAUUCUACACAAAUGCCAGAAUGGGAGACCACUUCCUUUUCAAAUAAGUGCAUCCUCCUCCUUGUGAAAUGGG